rnacentral:rRNA from 1 species
UACAGAGGUCUCAAGCGUUGUUCGGAUUCAUUGGGCGUAAAGGGUGCGUAGGUGGCAGGGUAAGUCGGAUGUGAAAACCCCAGGCUCAACCUGGGGACGCCACCCGAUACUGCUAUAGCUAGAGUCCAGUAGGGGAGUGUGGAAUUCCCAGUGUAGCGGUGAAAUGCGCAGAUAUCAGGAGGAACACCAAUGGCGAAGGCAGCACUCUGGGACGUGACUGACGCUGAGACGCGAAAGCGUGGGGAGCAAACAGG